UAAGGGCGCACGGUGGAUGCCUUGGCACUAGAAGCCGAUGAAGGACGUUACUAACGACGAUAUGCUUUGGGGAGCUGUAAGUAAGCUUUGAUCCAGAGAUUUCCGAAUGGGGAAACCCAGCAUGAGUUAUGUCAUGUUAUCGAUAUGUGAAUACAUAGCAUAUCAGAAGGCACACCCGGAGAACUGAAACAUCUUAGUACCCGGAGGAAGAGAAAGAAAAUUCGAUUCCCUUAGUAGCGGCGAGCGAAACGGGAAGAGCCCAAACCAACAAGCUUGCUUGUUGGGGUUGUAGGACACUCUAUACGGAGUUACAAAGGACGACAUUAGACGAAUCAUCUGGAAAGAUGAAUCAAAGAAGGUAAUAAUCCUGUAGUCGAAAAUGUUGUCUCUCUUGAGUGGAUCCUGAGUACGACGGAGCACGUGAAAUUCCGUCGGAAUCUGGGAGGACCAUCUCCUAAGGCUAAAUACUCUCUAGUGACCGAUAGUGAACCAGUACCGUGAGGGAAAGGUGAAAAGCACCCCGGAAGGGGAGUGAAAUAGAACCUGAAACCGUGUGCUUACAAGUAGUCAGAGCCCGUUAAUGGGUGAUGGCGUGCCUUUUGUAGAAUGAACCGGCGAGUUACGAUUUGAUGCAAGGUUAAGCAGUAAAUGUGGAGCCGUAGCGAAAGCGAGUCUGAAUAGGGCGUUUAGUAUUUGGUCGUAGACCCGAAACCAGGUGAUCUACCCUUGGUCAGGUUGAAGUUCAGGUAACACUGAAUGGAGGACCGAACCGACUUACGUUGAAAAGUGAGCGGAUGAACUGAGGGUAGCGGAGAAAUUCCAAUCGAACCUGGAGAUAGCUGGUUCUCUCCGAAAUAGCUUUAGGGCUAGCCUCAAGUGAUGAUUAUUGGAGGUAGAGCACUGUUUGGACGAGGGGCCCCUCUCGGGUUACCGAAUUCAGACAAACUCCGAAUGCCAAUUAAUUUAACUUGGGAGUCAGAACAUGGGUGAUAAGGUCCGUGUUCGAAAGGGAAACAGCCCAGACCACCAGCUAAGGUCCCAAAAUAUAUGUUAAGUGGAAAAGGAUGUGGCGUUGCCCAGACAACUAGGAUGUUGGCUUAGAAGCAGCCAUCAUUUAAAGAGUGCGUAAUAGCUCACUAGUCGAGUGACACUGCGCCGAAAAUGUACCGGGGCUAAACAUAUUACCGAAGCUGUGGAUUGUCCUUUGGACAAUGGUAGGAGAGCGUUCUAAGGGCGUUGAAGCAUGAUCGUAAGGACAUGUGGAGCGCUUAGAAGUGAGAAUGCCGGUGUGAGUAGCGAAAGACGGGUGAGAAUCCCGUCCACCGAUUGACUAAGGUUUCCAGAGGAAGGCUCGUCCGCUCUGGGUUAGUCGGGUCCUAAGCUGAGGCCGACAGGCGUAGGCGAUGGAUAACAGGUUGAUAUUCCUGUACCACCUAUAAUCGUUUUAAUCGAUGGGGGGACGCAGUAGGAUAGGCGAAGCGUGCGAUUGGAUUGCACGUCUAAGCAGUAAGGCUGAGUAUUAGGCAAAUCCGGUACUCGUUAAGGCUGAGCUGUGAUGGGGAGAAGACAUUGUGUCUUCGAGUCGUU
rnacentral:rRNA from 1 species